GAUGAACGCUGGCGGCGUGCUUAACACAUGCAAGUCGAACGAUGAAGCCCAGCUUGCUGGGUGGAUUAGUGGCGAACGGGUGAGUAACACGAGAGUAACCUGCCCUUAACUCUGGGAUAAGCCUGGGAAACUGGGUCUAAUACCGGAUAGGAGCGUCCACCGCAUGGUGGGUGUUGGACAGUUUUAUCGGUUUUGGAUGGACUCGCGGCCUAUCAGCUUGUUGGUGAGGUAAUGGCUCACCAAGGCGACGACGGGUAGCCGGCCUGAGAGGGUGACCGGCCACACGAGGACUGAGACACGGCCCAGACUCCUACGGGAGGCAGCAGUGGGGAAUAUUGCGCAAUGGGCGCAAGCCUGAUGCAGCGACGCCGCGUGAGGGAUGACGGCCUUCGGGUUGGAAACCUCUUUCAGUAGGGAAGAAGCGAAAGUGACGUUACCUGCAGAAGAAGCACCGGCUAACUACGUG
rnacentral:rRNA from 1 species